rnacentral:rRNA from 1 species
GAUGAACGCUGGCGGCGUGCCUAAUACAUGCAAGUCGAGCGAACGGACGAGAAGCUUGCUUUUCUUAUGUUAGCGGCGGACGGGUGAGUAACACGUGGAUAACCUACCUAUAAGACUGGGAUAACUUCGGGAAACCGGAGCUAAUACCGGAUAAUAUUUUGAACCGCAUGGUUCAAAAGUGAAACACGGUCUUGCUGUCACUUAUACAUGGAUCCCCGCUGCAUUAGCUAGUUGGUAAGGUAACGGCUUACCAAGGCAACGAUGCAUAGCCGACCUGAGAGGGUGAUCGGCCACACUGGAACUGAGACACGGUCCAGACUCCUACGGGAGGCAGCAGUAGGGAAUCUUCCGCAAUGGGCGAAAGCCUGACGGAGCAACGCCGCGUGAGUGAUGAAGGUCUUCGGAUCGUAAAACUCUGUUAUUAGGGAAGAACAUAUGUGUAAGUAACUGUGCACAUCUUGACGGUACCUAAUCAGAAAGCCACGGCUAACUACGUG